CGUGUGUUAAGAAGGCCUUCGGGUUGUAAAGCACUUUCAGCGAGGAGGAGGCGGUUGAAAUUAAUACUCUAGGUAUAGUGAACUUUCCUCGCAAAAAAAGCACCGGUUAACUCUGUGCCACCAGCCGCGGUAAUACAAAGGGUGCAACCUUUAAUCGAAUUAACUGGCCUUAAAGCUUGCCUAGGCGGUUUUUUAACUCGAAUGUAAAAUCCCCGACUCUUAACUGGAAAUUGCUUUCGAUACUGGGAAGCUAAAUCUAUGGGAGAGGAUGGUAGAAUUCCAGUGUGUAGCGGUACAAAUGCGUAGAUAUCUGGAGGAAUACCGAUGGCGAGCGCAGCCCCUCUGGCCCUAAUACUGACUCUGAGGUACGAAAGCGUGGGGAGCACACAGGAUUAUAUCCCCUGGUACUCCAUGCCGUACAAGAUGUCUACUAACCGUGGGGGCCUUAGAAGCUUUAUCGCCGCAUCUAACGCUAUAAAUAGACCAUCUGGAGAGUACGGUCGCAAGACUAAAACUCAAA
rnacentral:rRNA from 1 species